AGUGAUGUUAGAGCAGUGGCACUCCCCCAUCGUGGGCCCCCAUCCUCCUGGCAGGGCCUACCUGCAGGUGCCACAGGUCCCAGAUCACUUGAAGAAAUAAUGCGGGCGAGUUCCGGACACCCCGUAUAAGCGUGCGAUUAAGGAGAAAUCGAAACGCGCACGAAUCGUCGCGGAUGACGGGCUGAUUCGAAAUCCCGAUCCCGAUCCCGUUCCCGUUGGCGGCCGAUCGCUCCACGACACCCGCUACAUCGCAGAAUUGGCAGCUACGUCGCAGAACGAUGGACACCUGUGCGGUGUGCCACGUAAGAGUGCCACAUAAUUAUUAGCCGGCACACCGAGGAACGCGCCACGCGCUCGCUCCCGCCAACGACCGUGAUGAAAUUUCGUGGAUAAUAUUAUAUUUCACGAAAAAGAGAGAAAAUUGUGCGAAGUGAUCAUUGAUCAU